CUACAGGCUUAACACAUGCAAGUUCGAGGGGCAGCAUUUUAGUUUGCUUGCAAACUGAAGAAGGCGACCGGCGCACGGGCGAGUAACACGUAUCCAACCUGCCGAUAACUCCGGGAUAGCCUUUCGAAAGAAAGAUUAAUACCGGAUAGUAUACGAAUAUCGCAUGAUAUUUUUAUUAAAGAAUUUCGGUUAUCGAUGGGGAUGCGUUCCAUUAGUUUGUUGGCGGGGUAACGGCCCACCAAGACUACGAUGGAUAGGGGUUCUGAGAGGAAGGUCCCCCACAUUGGAACUGAGACACGGUCCAAACUCCUACGGGAGGCAGCAGUGAGGAAUAUUGGUCAAUGGGCGCGAGCCUGAACCAGCCAAGUAGCGUGAAGGAUGAAGGCUCUAUGGGUCGUAAACUUCUUUUAUAUGGGAAUAAAGUUUUCCACGUGUGGAAUUUUGUAUGUACCAUAUGAAUAAGGAUCGGCUAACUCCGUGCCAGCAGCCGCGGUAAUACGGAGGAUCCGAGCGUUAUCCGGAUUUAUUGGGUUUAAAGGGAGCGUAGGUGGAUUGUUAAGUCAGUUGUGAAAGUUUGCGGCUCAACCGUAAAAUUGCAGUUGAAACUGGCAGUCUUGAGUACAGUAGAGGUGGGCGGAAUUCGUGGUGUAGCGGUGAAAUGCUUAGAUAUCACGAAGAACUCCGAUUGCGAAGGCAGCUCACUAGACUGUCACUGACACUGAUGCUCGAAAGUGUGGGUAUCAAACAGGAUUAGAUACCCUGGUAGUCCACACAGUAAACGAUGAAUACUCGCUGUUUGCGAUAUACAGUAAGCGGCCAAGCGAAAGCAUUAAGUAUUCCACCUGGGGAGUACGCCGGCAACGGUGAAACUCAAAGGAAUUGACGGGGGCCCGCACAAGCGGAGGAACAUGUGGUUUAAUUCGAUGAUACGCGAGGAACCUUACCCGGGCUUAAAUUGCAACAGAAUAUAUUGGAAACAGUAUAGCCGUAAGGCUGUUGUGAAGGUGCUGCAUGGUUGUCGUCAGCUCGUGCCGUGAGGUGUCGGCUUAAGUGCCAUAACGAGCGCAACCCUUAUCUUUAGUUACUAACAGGUUAUGCUGAGGACUCUAGAGAGACUGCCGUCGUAAGAUGUGAGGAAGGUGGGGAUGACGUCAAAUCAGCACGGCCCUUACGUCCGGGGCUACACACGUGUUACAAUGGGGGGUACAGAAGGCGGCUACCUGGUGACAGGAUGCUAAUCCCAAAAACCUCUCUCAGUUCGGAUCGAAGUCUGCAACCCGACUUCGUGAAGCUGGAUUCGCUAGUAAUCGCGCAUCAGCCAUGGCGCGGUGAAUACGUUCCCGGGCCU
rnacentral:rRNA from 1 species